rnacentral:lncRNA from 1 species
CGCUGCGACCUAUGGCAAAACCCAAAUGGACCACCAACUACAAUGGUCUAUUUCUCAGAGAAGCUAUGUGGACUCAGAAAAACGUACAGAGUUAAAUGAUCCUCAACUGUCUGCACUUCAGUGGCACCUACAUAUACCACCUCAGAGGAGAGUAUUCUAGCAAUAGCCCCUGAAUGACAUACUGCCAAGAAUACCGGCUCUACCUUGAGGGAGCUCCCAACGUAAAGACAAGAUAUGGUAGAAAGACUGACCUUGGCAAUCAGCAAUCCCGCGUUCUAGUCCCUGUUCAGCUACAGACAGGGACCAUGAUCUCAAGUUGCUUCCUCAUCUCUGACACAGUAAUGACGGCAGGAACAGCAGUAAUAGCAAACGUCCAAUUCUAUUAGCAUAAUACCUCAGAGAACCGUUGUGCUUACUUUUACAUUGCAUCACAGAUGUUGAUUACUGAUUUUUUUUUUUUUUUUUUUUACUUACACAGAAGGUGAUCAUUUUCUAUAAUGUUUAUGAUAACAGUAUAAAUAAAGGAAGCCGAGGAUAGAGUUUGGGUCUCACAUUUAAAGCUAUUUUUUUAAUACAAGUAUCCCCCAUUCUUGGUUAGGAUCCAAUUCAUUCAGUACUGGUUUUGCAUUAAAAAUCAAAAGGCUUAGGACACGUGACAGAUGAUUCAAAUAUUGAGAAGUCACAUGGAAGUUAAAAAUGCUCAAAUCAAAGGAGCCUGGAGGCUUUCCUGCAAGAAUCCACUUGAAGCUCACCCAAACUCACGAUUAUUUACACAAUGUCACAACCUUAAUUACUGCAAUCCAAAUUAAGAAUUAGCCAAUUUCCUUUAGGUUCAAAUACCGUAUUUUUAAAAAAUUACAACAUUUAAUGAGCACAGGGAAGACUGAGAGACAAAGCACUCUUCCUGCUAGACUCCCUACAGUAUCUAUGAAACAAUGCUGGCAGAUAAGGAAAACAAUGUAGACGGUGGAAUUCAGAUGCGAAGGGGCUCAGGGUUACUUUACUCAUGCUGCGUGUGAAAUAUCUGGAUUAGAACACAGAACAGGACUCUGAAAUUAAAAAGGCACCUGGUAAAUUCCCACACUAGGGCUUUAUUAAUGGGCUCCACAUAACCUGGCCCCUUGACUGCUCUUCUCCCCUAUUCCUGCUACUUCUCUGACCUCAUUUCCUGUCACCAUCCCUGCAGUUCCAGCCUGGCCACUCUGGCCUCGGCUCUGGACAGGCCCGGCAGUGCUCCCAGGUUCCUGCCUUGUGGCUACUACACUUGCCUUCCCUUGGCCUGGACUGCUCAUCACCAGAUAGGUACACGGUUCUUUCUUUCACACUUCCUUCAAACCUUUGUUCAAAUGUUGCCCUGCCAGUGAGUUUUGUCUGGCUUAUUGAAAACUGCAAACCUUCCUUCCCUGUUUAAUUUUCUCCACAGCACUUAACUGAAAGGCUAUAUAUAUUUUACGUUAUUAGCUCAUUUUCUAUCUUUUCCUCACCAGAAUAAGCGCUUCUGCUUGUGUGUUUUGUUCAUGGCUGUCUCCCUAGUAUCUAGAACAGUUCCUGCCAUGUAGAAAAACCUCAAAUAAGCAUUCGAUGAACAGACUGAGUGAAUAAAUGAACUGGCCACAAUGAAUGACUAUUCAGUUUAAGAAGCUACCAAAUUCAAAUCAUCAACUUCAUUGAAGAAAGGAGACAACAGAUUUAGGAUACUGUGAUUUUAAGGACUUAAGGAAGAUUAUUAUGGUAAUGUAAAAUAGGCUGGAUAAGGAAAAUGGUACAGCUGAGCUCCUAUGACCAACCUCUCCCAAAGUGUCCUCAAACUUAAGAAUGUCUAAGAGUCAGUAGUGAAUCUGACAUGAGUGAUCCAAAGGCCACUUCUUGGGAAACAUUGCCUUGGUGCCACUCCUGGUUAGAUGUGAGACCUAAGAGAAGGGAGCUCAUUCCAUUUAAUUCACCAAAGUCGUUUUAAUCGAUACCAUGGCAUAUGAGUAAGCACUGACUGUCAACAGCUCAAACAAACACAAGAGAUAAUCCUUUGCAUGUGUGUACUUUGACGAAAAGAAUGAGUCUGUCUCCCCAUCAUAAAGAUUUCCUGUGCUGCUUAGACGGUGUUGUGUCUAGGAAUGCUGUUAUCCUAGGUAAGCACCUUAGCUCAAGGACACUUAAAGCAAGUCCACGUUAAGUAGGCCUAACCCAUGACAAAUUCUGGUUUUGCAAUACUAGGUAUUCACUGGCCUGUUUUGUUUUUUCAUAAAGGUCAGACUUACUCCAUGCUUCAGCCACAUACAAGGCCACACCUCAGAUAAGGUAUAAAGCACAUGGUUUACCAGAGUGACAGUAUAAACAAAGUGAAACUAUAAUGGUUCCAAAUUUGGCUCUGGAUAACCAAACUCAGGACCCCCACCCACAGAACUGAAUCAGGAGAGCUACGGAAAGUAUACCUGAGAGCAAUGAUUUUUCUUAAAACAGCUGUUUUUUUAAACACUGUAUCACUAAACAGAAAUACACAGGUCCUCUUUCCAGUCCGCCAUUUCUACCACUGAACUGCUGCAGAGAGCAGCUGGCUACGUUCUGUGUUCAGGAUAUAACUAACUGUGCAAACAGAUGUUUUUUCCAAAUUCCAAGAAGUGACCCCAACCCAUACGCUUUUUACUCAAAGCUUCCAACUUUGUUUUUCAAAUGUAGAAACAGCUGGUGCCUACCUCUCCAGGGAAAACAUUAGUUUCUGGAAGGCCAUCAGUGGGGCGGAGGGAAGCAGGAGAAGAUCAGUUACUAUUUUCCCUCCAUUUCGUAUGAACAUGUCUCUUUCCUUAAGUCUUUUGUCCCAUGGCUUAACACGCUCUUUAUACGCCUUGAAAUAACAGCUGUUGGAACUGGGAGAUCACUAGUGUCCAGGUUGGUUCACAUACAUUCCUGAGAGGUCUCAUUUAAAAGAAGUACUAACUUCGAACUAUACAAAAGAAAUUCUCAUGGAGGUCUAGGGAAUCACUAACCUCAGAAAUCCUUAGUGUUAUCCCAAACUUCUAUGGGCUGCUCCCUAUACUAUAGUUAUAAUAAAUUCUUGAAGGAGUAAUUUUUUUUUUUUUUUUACAAGUAAUACUGAUUUUAAAAGAGAACUCCUACUAAUGUCUUACAAGCAGCUCCAUUUUGUCUGUCGUUAUUUGCUAAGGACAGAGUAGGUGUGUAAUGAUACCCCAAAAAUCAAAAAGUAAGGAAACCAUGUAAUUUCCUUCCAGAUAGGUGAGUGGCCUGGUAAGCCCCCAAGCAAGUUCCAAGUUAGUUGUGGCCAUCAGUUUCUCCAUAAACUCACCUUCUCUCCUUGGAGUGAUGGGACCGAGUCCCGCAAACUGUGAAAGCUGUCUUUGAUGUGGUCCCUACGUUUUCGUUCCAGUGCGUUAUGAUGAGCCCGUUUGUCAGCCUAGAAGAAUGGGAAAAAGAGCACAUUAGCAAUGUCGUUCCUUUUGCUUGGUAUA